CCUACGGGAGGCAGCAGUGGGGAAUAUUGCACAAUGGGCGCAAGCCUGAUGCAGCCAUGCCGCGUGUGUGAAGAAGGCCUUCGGGUUGUAAAGCACUUUCAGCGGGGAGGAAGGCGUUAAGGUUAAUAACCUUGGCGAUUGACGUUACCCGCAGAAGAAGCACCGGCUAACUCCGUGCCAGCAGCCGCGGUAAUACGGAGGGUGCAAGCGUUAAUCGGAAUUACUGGGCGUAAAGCGCACGCAGGCGGUCUGUCAAGUCGGAUGUGAAAUCCCCGGGCUCAACCUGGGAACUGCAUUCGAAACUGGCAGGCUAGAGUCGUGUAGAGGGGGGUAGAAUUCCAGGUGUAGCGGUGAAAUGCGUAGAGAUCUGGAGGAAUACCGGUGGCGAAGGCGGCCCCCUGGACAAAGACUGACGCUCAGGUGCGAAAGCGUGGGGAGCAAACAGAAUUAGAUACCCGAGUAGUC
rnacentral:rRNA from 1 species